CUCUGCGUGAAUCAUAUAUCUCUCUCUGAAUCCUGUAGAGUAACGAAGAUAAACUCCCAGCAGUUCAGCUUCAACACAAGCCAUGUUCCCUGCAUCUCUGCUGCUGCUGCUGGCAGCUGCCUCCUAUGGUCAGGGUCAGACAUUGACUGAGUCUGGACCAGUAAUUAAAACGCCUGGAGAAUCCCACACACUGAUCUGUACAGGUUCUGGGUUCACGUUCAAGAACUAUUGGAUGAGUUGGAUAAGACAGGCUCCUGGGAAAGAACUGGAAUGGAUUGGUUAUAUACAUGGUACUACUACUUACUACUCCCAGUCAAUGCAGGGUAGAUUCACCCUCUCCAGAGAUGACUCCAGCAGUAAGCUGUACCUACAGAUGAACAUUCUGAAGAGUGAGGACACAGCAGUGUAUUACUGUGCCCGGUACACACAGUGA